rnacentral:rRNA from 1 species
UAGCCGCGGUAUUUUGACCGGGCGAAGGUAGCAAAAUAAUUAGGCUAUUAAUUGUAGCCUUGUAUGAAGGGUUCGACAAAGGGAAGCUUUUUUAUUUGUAGGGUUGAAUUUGAAGAGUUAGGGAAAAGGCUAAUAUGAAAUAUAAAGACAAAAAAACCCUAUUGAGUUUUAUAUAUUAUUAUUUUUGGAAUAGAAGAUAAAAGUAAAACUAUAUUUGGUUGGGGCGACUUCUGUAAGAAAACAUUGAAUUAGGGUUAAAGGUUAAUGAUCCGUUAUUAACGAUUGAUAGAUCAAAUUACCAUAGGGAUAACAGCAUAAUUUUAUUGUAGAGUUCUUAUCGAAUUUAAAGUUUGUGACCUCGAUGUUGGAUUAAGAUGGCUAUUAGGUGCAGGUGCUUAAUUAGUUAGACUGUUCGUCUAUUAAAGUCUUACA